rnacentral:rRNA from 1 species
GACGAACGCUGGCGGCGUGCUUAACACGUGCAAGUCGAACGGAAAGGCCCUGCUUUUGUGGGGUGCUCGAGUGGCGAACGGGUGAGUAACAUGUGAGUAACCUGCCCUUGACUUUGGGAUAACUUCAGGAAACUGGGGCUAAUACCGGAUAGGAGCUCCUGCUGCAUGGUGGGGGUUGGAAAGUUUCGGCGGUUGGGGAUGGACUCGCGGCUUAUCAGCUUGUUGGUGGGGUAGUGGCUUACCAAGGCUUUGACGGGUAGCCGGCCUGAGAGGGUGACCGGCCACAUUGGGACUGAGAUACGGCCCAGACUCCUACGGGAGGCAGCAGUGGGGAAUAUUGCACAAUGGGCGGAAGCCUGAUGCAGCAACGCCGCGUGCGGGAUGACGGCCUUCGGGUUGUAAACCGCUUUCGCCUGUGACGAAGCGUGAGUGACGGUAAUGGGUAAAGAAGCACCGGCUAACUACGUG